UAGGGAAUCUUCGGCAAUGGACGGAAGUCUGACCGAGCAACGCCGCGUGAGUGAAGAAGGUUUUCGGAUCGUAAAGCUCUGUUGUAAGAGAAGAACGAGUGUGAGAGUGGAAAGUUCACACUGUGACGGUAUCUUACCAGAAAGGGACGGCUAACUACGUGCCAGCAGCCGCGGUAAUACGUAGGUCCCGAGCGUUGUCCGGAUUUAUUGGGCGUAAAGCGAGCGCAGGCGGUUAGAUAAGUCUGAAGUUAAAGGCUGUGGCUUAACCAUAGUAGGCUUUGGAAACUGUUUAACUUGGGUGCAAGAGGGGAGAGUGGAAUUCCAUGUGUAGCGGUGAAAUGCGUAGAUAUAUGGAGGAACACCGGUGGCGAAAGCGGCUCUCUGGCUUGUAACUGACGCUGAGGCUCGAAAGCGUGGGGAGCAAACAGGAUUAGAUACCCUGGUAGUCCACGCUGUAAACGAUGAGUGCUAGGCGUUAGACCCUUUCCGGGGUUUAGUGCCGUAGCUAACGCAUUAAGCACUCCGCCUGGGGAGUACGACCGCAAGGUUG
rnacentral:rRNA from 1 species